GAGGUGCCGAACGAGGUGGAAUACGUCGACCGUUAGAGCUGUCACUACCCUAGGGCUACCACAACAAUCCGCAGGAUUGGGUGCAAUUUCAGGUAAUUGCAAGUCUCAACACCACGUCUAAUCUAUUAAUUACUACUCUAGUGUUAUAAAGACUAGAGCACUUGAUGCAAGCGGGAAUCCAAUAAAUAACUUGAAUGUAGAUAAAAUUAAUUAAAGAACUCAGGAAUUAUGAAUAGAAGAACUUGGAGAACGAUGAAGAACGAACCAGUUGCUGCAAAAGUACAAUGUUGAGGAAGAUCCGACAGAUCCGGCUCCUCCUCCGCUCUCCUCUUCUCUCUCCCUAUUUUCUAGAUUACAACUAGAACGAACUAGAACUAGAACUAGAUGAACUAGAACUAGAACUAGAUGAAUUAGAGGGAUCCUCUCUACUUGGAUGAAGAAUUGAAACCCUAGCUUUGAUUCUGUAGAAGAGGUAUGAUCUCCAGGGGCUGGGGGCCUUGCUUAUAUAGUCUUUUCAGAUGAAUCUAGGCCGUCGGAUCAAACCGACAUUGAUUGAACGGUUAUCCUUGAUCCUUUAGGUCGGUGGAGCGUAAUCCGCAAGACGUUCCAGAUUGGACUCUGGGACAGGGCGGGCGCCCAAGGGGGGAGGGCGGGCACCCUGCCCCCAUGCCCGAUCGCCUUCUCGUUCAUUCCCGUGGCAUCUGGAGUCUUCUAGAUGGUAGAAAAUUGCACAGCACGUUAAUAUCUCUAUGUAAACCCGACGUGUGGGCCUUUCUUCCGUAUUUCCUGAUAACCCCCUGCAGAAAUAGACAAACACCAAAACUCGUGGAAUUUUGUCAGAUAAAACCCUAAGUCUGGGUGUUAGUUGCAUUUGGAUCCUUUUCCAUGAUUAGUUGAUGGUUAAAUGUGAGCAUUAAGGACCGUCAACAAGCUCCCCCAAGCUUAACCUUUGCUCGUCCCUGAGCAAAGAUGGACUCAAGAGUUUCUGCAGUGGUUUCAUGCCUUAAAAAUACACAUGUGUUUAAACAAGAUCUCAUCUCUAGGUUAGAGUAAACUGUUAAGACUUAAAACUUACUUAUUUUACCUUUCACCAUGGGGCUUGCAACCGUCACUUGUGUCUUGAGCAGUUAAAAGAUAGAACGGUCUAGUCAAGUGCCAUGUCUCUUAUUCUUGAUCAGCUAUAGGGAGUUUUUGUAGAUUUUCAAAUAAAACUCAGAGAUUCCUUGUAUGACUCUCUCAGAUCUCUCUUUUGUGGUAUUUCUGGUAUGAGGCAUAGUGGCAUUGCCUUCUCUCUCACCCUACUCUAAUAAGGUUUUGAUAUCUGGAGCUCAUAGGUGGGAGACAACUAAUACAUACAAGAAAUUUAUUGCAUAGUCAAACCAUGGUUCUAGAGAAACAAGUCAAUAAGUCAAAUCAAGAUGUGCAUGUGUGGCGAAUGAAUGGUGUAUGGUGAUGAUAGUGAUAAUAAUGGUGAAAGUCUAAUUCUACUUUUGCUCUUUUGAGGGGAUACAUACCUUCCUUGCUCUUUUGAGACUUUUGGGGAGAAUGAGAUGCUCUGUAUUUUCUUUUUCUUUCCUCUGAGGUGGGUAGCUUGUAUCCCUAAUUCUACUAUCGGACACUUGUCCAUUUUUACCUCUCGUCUCACUUUUUCUUUUCUUUCGAGGUUCUGGGCACUUGCCCCCUUUUUUAUUUCCUCAUAUCUUUUUUUCUCUCUCUUUUUUUAGAGCACUCAUCUCUUGAAAUAAUGUAGCAAGUGGUAGUAACCAAGAUAACUUGAGCAUUUAUUUCACAGGGGAAAAUAGAAAUGUUUUUGGCUAUUCUCUCCCGGAUUAGGAGUAGAAUAUUUUUGGGUGGUUCUGGAAAUGGAAAUUGGUGGAUAUAUGUGGAUGCGUACUUCUAGAGUCGAAGCAGCAUGUAUGAGUGAACGUGCAAGUGAAUCUUGAUUUAACCACAUGACAAACUCCUAAGAGUCUACACAGCUUGACCACACUCAAUGCUCAUAAGCAGUAAAAAGUAAAUGUGUGGCUCAAAGUCUAGCAAGCAUGUAUAUGUGGCUGUGGUAGGAAUUUAAACUCUCAUCAUACAGAAAUUCAUCAUGUGUUAUUUUAAAUAUUUUCAAAGAUAAAAUUCUCCAGAAUUCUAGCAUCUCUAGGAAAAGAUAAACAGCAGCUCAACCUUCCCAUAUCAUAUCCGUUAACGACUUAGACUUCAGAUCAAGUACUCUUCCCACAAGUUCAGGUUUAGAGCAGGUUUAAAUUAUAACAGUUAUGCCUAAACUUGAGAGAAAGCUCAAACUUGAAAACUAGGUACAUGUCAGAGCAACUAUUUAUCAUAUCCAUGUACGAGUUUAUCAUUUAAGUUCAGUUUGGCCUAGACACUUUAUUUAUUUAUUUAUUUAGCAAACUAAGCAAAGAUAUAUAUAUAUAAGCACAAAAUCUUUAUUUGGGUUUUUAUGAUCAUGCAUCUUUUUAUUAUUUGAGUAAAGUAUAAAUGUGAGUAGAACACUUAGCUGGAUAAAUGGGGGUGCUCUCCCCCAAGCUGGAUUUUGACGUAAUUUCUUCUGAUGUAGCUAGCAGGUGAUGGAGGUGUAUUUGAAUGUCAGCAGCACCCUGACAGCGAUUAGGAUGUCCUUCGUCUGCUAGUCUUCUUUGAUCCUUGAAUUAUGUGGAGCUCAAAUAGACAACAAAGCUUUGUGGAACUGGUUAAGUGUUAGCAUAAAUAUCUAGCCUUUAUCAUGUUGAGCCUCCUCAAUAAAUGUUACUCUCUUUAGUAGGAUCAUAAAUUUAUUUUUAUAAUUUUAUUUUUAUAGGACAGGAAUAUAUUUAUUUCAUUUUUACGCCACCACAGUGAAUGUACUUAUGGGUUUUAUGCCAUGAGCAUACUCACAUGGGGCUUACUAUUUCUAACAUUUUUAUUUUCUUUUCAAGAUGAUAUGAACCUAAUUAACU
rnacentral:lncRNA from 1 species